AAUAAGAUGCAACCAGCCGGUCUAACCUAGGUUCGUGACAGCUAACAAAAGAUGCACUCGUUUACUUAAUUUCAAAAUAAUUAAAUAUAUUGUGCCAUUAGACCUGGAUUCACAAGAACAUAAAGAUUUUACGUGGUAUAGUCAAUAGGCCAUAUGCAUCGCAGUGCAAGAUACAAGUAAUCUUUAAUCCUACGCCGAUACACCCAAAACCUC
rnacentral:lncRNA from 1 species